AUUGAACGCUGGCGGCAUGCUUUACACAUGCAAGUCGAACGGUAACAGGCCUUCGGGUGCUGACGAGUGGCGAACGGGUGAGUAAUGCAUCGGAACGUACCCAGAGGUGGGGGAUAACGCAGCGAAAGCUGUGCUAAUACCGCAUGUGAUCUGAGGAUGAAAGCGGGGGACCGAGCAGCAAUGUUUGGCCUCGCGCCUUUGGAGCGGCCGAUGUCGGAUUAGCUAGUUGGUGGGGUAAAGGCCUACCAAGGCGACGAUCCGUAGCUGGUCUGAGAGGACGACCAGCCAAACUGGGACUGAGACACGGCCCAGACUCCUACGGGAGGCAGCAGUGGGGAAUUUUGGACAAAGGGCGCAAGCCUGAUCCAGCAAUGCCGCGUGCGGGAAGAAGGGCUUCGGGUUGUAAACCGCUUUUGGCAGGAACGAAACGGUGUCCGCUAAUACCGGGCGCUAAUGACGGUACCUGCAGAAUAAGCACCGGCUAACUACGUG
rnacentral:rRNA from 1 species